CUCCUCUACAGGGCAGUCCUGAGUGGCAUCUUGGCCGCUGCUGGAAUAGGCACUGCGAGAGGGUGGAAGGCGCGACCGGUGCUCCUCACCACUCAGCCUGGCGCUGCCGUUGGCCAGGCGUCCCAGACUCCCUCUCUCCUGGUAAGGCACGAAUGUGGAGAGCUUGGGGGGAUUCCUGGUCUUACGCACAGGGGAGGGAUGGCCUGGCAUCCAGCAGGCAUCUGAGUGACCCAAUUCACUGCACUCAGUUGUGCAGUUUCCGGUCAUCGCCACAUCAGGGAGAGAGCGGAUAUCUGUGGAAAGAAAGUUCUGUAAGUGCUGCAUACACCUGAAAAUACCUAAAAAGGAAGAAAGAAAAAAAAGACUACCAUUGAGUCUGCUGCAAGAAAGGAACGAUGAAGAAAAGAAGGAAGGAAAGAAGAAGGGACUUCAUAAUUCACACAAUCACCAAAGGAAGUUAAAUGAGGAUUAACGAAGAACAGAAUGAAGGAAUGAGAAUAGAGACCAAAGGAAUGACAGUGGGAAGAAUGGAAAGAGAAGGACUUGAGGAAGACAGAAGAAAAAGAGGCAAAAACAAACAAAAGGAGGAAGCGACCUACAAGAAGGUACGAGCGAAGAGAACAUGGAGGAAUUG